UACGUAGGGCGCAAGCGUUGUCCGGAAUUAUUGGGCGUAAAGAGCUCGUAGGCGGCUUGUCACGUCGAUUGUGAAAGCCCGAGGCUUAACCUCGGGUCUGCAGUCGAUACGGGCUAGCUAGAGUGUGGUAGGGGAGAUCGGAAUUCCUGGUGUAGCGGUGAAAUGCGCAGAUAUUAGGAGGAACACCGGUGGCGAAGGCGCCACUCUGGGCCGAAACUGACGCUGAGGAGCGAAAGCGUGGGUAGCAAACAGG
rnacentral:rRNA from 1 species